rnacentral:tRNA from 1 species
GGCUUCGUAGCUCAGCUGUUAGAGCGCUUGCCGCGUUGAGGCAUGCUUUGUUUGUCUCUGGUUCGAAUCCAGCCGAAGCCC